CCUACGUGCGGCAGCAGUGAGGAAUAUUGGUCAAUGGACGAGAGUCUGAACCAGCCAAGUAGCGUGAAGGAUGACUGCCCUAUGGGUUGUAAACUUCUUUUAUAUGGGAAUAAAAUGUUCCACGUGUGGGCUUUUGUAUGUACCAUAUGAAUAAGGAUCGGCUAAAUCCGUGCCAGCAGCCGCGGUAAUACGGAGGAUCCGAGCGUUAUCCGGAUUUCUUGGGCUUAAAGGGAGCGUAGGUGGAUUGUUAAGUCAGUUGUGAAAGUUUGCGGCUCAACCGUAAAAUUGCAGUUGAUACUGGCAGUCUAGAGUACAGUAGAGGUGGGCGGAAUUCGUGGUGUAGCGGUGAAAUGCUUAGAUAUCACGAAGAACUCCGAUUGCGAAGGCAGCUCACUGGACUGCAACUGACACUGAGGCUCGAAAGUGUGGGUAUCAAACAGGAUUAGAUACCCCAGUAGUC
rnacentral:rRNA from 1 species